GAACAGUUUUACUUCCCUCUAAUUUAGAAAAAAAAUCCUUUUGCAUGUUUUUUUUUUUUUUUACAUUCCCACUUUCGAGACCAAGUCAUUCAAGAUUGUGUACAUAACCGUCUUGAUGUUGAUUCAAAGGACAAUAAUACAAAGAACCGAUAAAUACGACUCAAAAAAAGAUAUCACGUGAUUUACCCCAAAUAUUUUUUUUUCCCUUUAACUUCAAAAAAAUAUAUAUACUUAUGAAUCCUUUGAAUCAAAGUGUUUGUCAUUAUUUGCUUGAAGGAACAUUACCCAUGUGUGUGUGGGUGGGUGUGUGUGUGUGUGCAACGAAUUUCACAUAGGAAUGCUUGGCUUUUAGAUGAGUUUGGUACUAAAUAUUGACCAUAUUUGGUGUGAACAUGUUUGAGUGUCCGUCCAGUUCAUGAAUUUAACACAAAAAGAUAUCGAAAGCAUGUUAGUGGUGAUAGAAGCCUGGAUGUGUUUGUGUACCACUUGACAACAUUGAUGUGCUUUUUCUUCCUUCAAUGCCCUCCACUGGCUCCCCUGUCACGAGAGUUGGCUGCCCUAAAAAUCUUGAAUACUUUAACGAGGACCAAGCCGUCGUCAUUCAUUCCGCACGCCGUGACGAUGAUGUAUGUCCACUGAGAAGAAAAAAAAUACUGAUGCAACAUUUGGUUUUAGAGAUCACGUAAUAAGUUGCCCUUUUUCUAUGUACAUAAAAAGCCAAUUUCUUUCACUUUUUUUUCUUUUUCAAAUCUGAAUCUUUGGUGUGCACUUGUCCUUCGCCAUGACGAUCCAUCCAUCCAUGUGGCGUAUCAAGAUGCCGAUUAGAUGGCAUGACUAUUGCCCAGGUGUGCUAAGGAAAGGCUAAAUUUGUACAGUUCCAAGACUUGCUGCAUUGCGGCAAUCAUUUAUUUUUAAUUCACAUCGUAUUUCUGACCAUGCCACCAGACCCCACUGCAGUAGAAGUGCAGUGGAGAGUGGCCUUUCUCUGGGCAGCGUUUUGGUAUACCACACCUGCGAGGUGGAUGAAUUGUUAAGGCGAGGGAGGCACUCAUAUAGCCGUUGAAAGAUCUGUGAACACUUGGAGCGUAUUAGGGCUUUUGCGCAUAUAGAAAUAUUCACCUUGUGAAAAAUGGGAGCCAAAAAAAAAAAUUUGAUGCAAUUUAUAUUUUUGUUCAGAAUGCGUGCGUUAUUUUUUAUUUUUUUUUUUUUUUGCACAGAGGAAAAGAUUUUCACAAGAAAUAGACCAAAUACAAGAUGCUUUUAAUAUGGUAUUGAUUUUACACUCACUUCCAUGCAGCUUUCCUUUUUAGUGUGCAGGGAAGUUCAACACACCCAACAUGUCCCUCCAUUCGAGCCUGCUUCCCCUCUUUCAUGGUAGUUUUGACUUGUAGGGACUUCUUAACAUUCGGGCGCCUUGGUCUUAGCUUGCAUUUUGUGUACAAACAUCGUGCAUGCCUUGCAGCUGUAUGUAGGCUUUACAGUUUGUAAUUAUAGAUUGUAAUGUAGAAAUACUCUUACAUGAAGACUUAAGGUUUUAAGAUGGUUCGAUAGUAGACUUUUUGAAAUCACUGUUUUUAUUGUCAUGUUUGCAUAAUUAGAAACGACACAUCAAAAUGAACUUGGCUGUGCACUACGAGGUCUAGGCCAGUCGAUUUUCUGUCUCGUGGUUCAUUCGUAGAGGACAUCCCUGCAAUACAACAGUGUUCUCCUAUUUUUUUUUUUAAUUGCCUCUAUAGGUCUCCAUGAUCCUGUAUGUUUGGCAACUGCUGUAAAACUGUGAUCUAAUGAGAGGCGUACUGUGCGGUCCGUCCAAAGGAACCUUGGUUUAAAAAAUAUGUAUAUUAACCAUGUAAAAAAAAUACGACUAUCAUUAUUUAAUGCUGAUAAUGAUUGUAAAUGCAUUACAGAGGUUGUGUUUUCAGAUAAAUGCAUUACAGAGGUUGUGUUUUCAGGUAAAUAAAGAUCAUAUUUAAACUUUG